GUUAAACAGCCCUGUCCCGUCAGCUGGCAUGCUCCAGCCACAGGUGUCUAAUUGCAGAGUAGACAUUUCCUGUGACACUGAGCACAGGAACUGAGAGCAGGGAGAUUGUCUCUUCUGUGCUUUGUGCCCCCACUGCUGGCCCCCAAGCAGGACGGAAGAAGGAGGUUAAGAAAGGAAAGGAGCGGCAAAUGCCACACUUGGAAGAGGCAUUUCUCAGGGCAAUUAAGGCAUCACUGAUGGUCACUGCUGACUGAGAAAGAGCGGAGGCAGGAGACACAGUUCUUAAAUCCUGGAUUCUGCACAUAGUCCUUUUCCCAAGAACUUUCACUAUUUCCAGCCUUCUACUACCUUGGGUGUUUUGAGACUAUUGAUAUUCUUCUGUGGCUCCAUCCAGCCUUUCCUGGAAUAAUGCUCCUCCUCCAGGUCUUUAACUGAAA